AGAGUUUGAUCAUGGCUCAGGACGAACGCUGGCGGCGUGCUUAACACAUGCAAGUCGAGCGGAAAGGCCCUUCGGGGUACUCGAGCGGCGAACGGGUGAGUAACACGUGAGUAAUCUGCCCUUAGCUCUGGGAUAGCUCCGGGAAACCGGGAUUAAUACCGGAUAGGACCACCUUAGACAUCUUUUGUGGUGGAAAGAAUUUCGGCUAGGGAUGAGCUCGCGGCCUAUCAGCUUGUUGGUGGGGUAACGGCCUACCAAGGCGACGACGGGUAGCCGGCCUGAGAGGGCGACCGGCCACACUGGGACUGAGACACGGCCCAGACUCCUACGGGAGGCAGCAGUGGGGAAUAUUGCGCAAUGGGCGAAAGCCUGACGCAGCGACGCCGCGUGGGGGAUGAAGGCCUUCGGGUUGUAAACCCCUUUCAGCAGGGACGAAGCGAAAGUGACGGUACCUGCAGAAGAAGCGCCGGCUAACUACGUGCCAGCAGCCGCGGUAACACGUAGGGCGCAAGCGUUGUCCGGAAUUAUUGGGCGUAAAGAGCUCGUAGGCGGUCUGUUGCGUCCGCUGUGAAAACUCGGGGCUUAACCCCGAGCCUGCAGUGGAUACGGGCAGACUAGAGGUAGGUAGGGGAGAAUGGAAUUCCCGGUGUAGCGGUGAAAUGCGCAGAUAUCGGGAGGAACACCGGUGGCGAAGGCGGUUCUCUGGGCCUUACCUGACGCUGAGGAGCGAAAGCGUGGGGAGCGAACAGGAUUAGAUACCCUAGUAGUCC
rnacentral:rRNA from 1 species